UAAUCUAUGAGUUAUUUCUACACGUGUUUUCAUGAACUUAUCGCCAAUUCGAUAUGAAUUAUGAAACAGUAAUCAUUUAUAACAGGAAAUGGUUGUUAAACACUGGCGAUAAGAAUUCAAGGACCACAGAUAUCGAGAAUCCGCCUGAGACGUGAGCUCAAAGCUUCAUUGUAUAACAGCAGUUAGACGAGACCGUAUAGUUUUCCAGUGAACAAAACCUAGUAACCAAAACCGUUAUCAUUUCAUAUCAUAUCAGUAUUCAUAAUGACUGCUGGUAAAUAAAAUUGUAAUGCAGUAAUAUAAUAAUACAAUCAAA